rnacentral:rRNA from 1 species
UACGUAGGGACCGAGCGUUGUCCGGAUUCAUUGGGCGUAAAGAGCUCGUAGGCGGCCACUCAAGUCGAAUGUGAAACCUCGAGGCUUAACCUCGAGCCUGCAUUCGAUACUGGGCGGCUAGAGUCUGGUAGGGGGAUCUGGAAUUCCUGGUGUAGCGGUGGAAUGCGCAGAUAUCAGGAGGAACACCGGUGGCGAAGGCGGGAUCCUGGGCCAGUACUGACGCUGAGGAGCGAAGGCUAGGGGAGCGAACGGG